rnacentral:rRNA from 1 species
UACGGGGGGGGUAAGCGUUGUUCGGAGUUACUGGGCGUAAAGAGUGCGUAGGCGGUUUUCUAAGUUUGGUGUGAAAUCUCCCGGCUUAACUGGGAGGGUGCGCCGAAGACUGGAAGGCUUGAGUAUGGGAGAGGUAAGCGGAAUUCCUGGUGUAGCGGUGAAAUGCGUAGAUAUCUGGAGGAAUACCGGUGGCGAAGGCGGCAUCCUGGACCGAUAUUGACACUGAGGAGCGAAAGCCAGGGGAGCAAACGGG